rnacentral:rRNA from 1 species
UACGGGGGGGGGCAAGCGUUGUUCGGAAUUACUGGGCGUAAAGGGCUCGUAGGUGGCCAACUAAGUCAUACGUGAAAUCCCUCGGCUUAACCGGGGAACUGCGUCUGAUACUGGAUGGCUUGAGAUUGGGAGAGGGAUGCGGAAUUCCAGGUGUAGCGGUGAAAUGCGUAGAUAUCUGGAGGAACACCGGUGGCGAAGGCGGCAUCCUGGACCAACACUGACACUGAGGAGCGAAAGCCAGGGGAGCAAACGGG